CCUACGGGAGGCAGCAGUAAGGAAUAUUGGGCAAUGGAGGCAACUCUGACCCAGCCAUGCCGCGUGAAGGAUGAAGGCCCUAUGGGUUGUAAACUUCUUUUGUACGGGAAUAAACCUGGUUACGUGUAACCAGUUGAAUGUACCGUAAGAAUAAGCACCGGCUAACUCCGUGCCAGCAGCCGCGGUAAUACGGAGGGUGCAAGCGUUAUCCGGAUUUAUUGGGUUUAAAGGGAGCGUAGGCGGGAUUGUAAGUCAGUGGUGAAAGCCCGUAGCUCAACUACGGAACUGCCAUUGAUACUGCAGACCUAGAGUACACUUGAAGUGGGCGGAAUGUGUCAUGUAGCGGUGAAAUGCUUAGAUAUGACACAGAACACCAAUUGCGAAGGCAGCUCACUAAAUUGUAACUGACGCUGAGGCUCGAUAGCGUGGGGAUCAAACAGGAUUAGAUACCCUGGUAGUCCACGCCGUAAACGAUGAUACUCGAUGUG
rnacentral:rRNA from 1 species